rnacentral:rRNA from 1 species
ACUCAAAUGAAUUGACGGGGGCCCGCACAAGCGGCGGAGCAUGUUGCUUAAUUCGAUGCGACGCGAAGAACCUUACCUGGGUUGAACUACGCGGGAAAAGCCGCAGAGAUGCGGUGUCCGUAAGGGUCCGCGAUAGGUGGUGCAUGGCUGUCGUCAGCUCGUGUCGUGAGAUGUUGGGUUAAGUCCCGCAACGAGCGCAACCCUUAUCCUAUGUUGCCAGCGGGUUAUGCCGGGUACUCGUAGGAGACUGCCGGGGUCAACUCGGAGGAAGGUGGGGAUGAGGUCAAGUCAUCAUGCCCCUUAUGUCCAGGGCUGCAAACAUGCUACAAUGGCCGGUACAACGAGCUGCUACCUCGCGAGAGGACGCGAAUCUCUUAAAGCCGGUCUCAGUUCGGAUUGGAGUCUGCAACUCGACUCCAUGAAGUCGGAGUCGCUAGUAAUCCCGGAUCAGCAACGCCGGGGUGAAUACGUUCCCGGGCCUUGUACACACCGCCCGU